GACGAACGCUGGCGGCGUGCUUAACACAUGCAAGUCGAACGAAGAGCGAUGGAAGCUUGCUUCUAUCAAUCUUAGUGGCGAACGGGUGAGUAACGCGUAAUCAACCUGCCCUUCAGAGGGGGACAACAGUUGGAAACGACUGCUAAUACCGCAUACGAUCUAAUCUCGGCAUCGAGGAUAGAUGAAAGGUGGCCUCUACAUGUAAGCUAUCACUGAAGGAGGGGAUUGCGUCUGAUUAGCUAGUUGGAGGGGUAACGGCCCACCAAGGCGAUGAUCAGUAGCCGGUCUGAGAGGAUGAACGGCCACAUUGGGACUGAGACACGGCACAGACUCCUACGGGAGGCAGCAGUGGGGAAUCUUCCGCAAUGGACGAAAGUCUGACGGAGCAACGCCGAGGGAGUGAUGACGGCCUUCGGGUUGUAAAGCUCUGUUAAUCGGGACGAAAGGCCUUCUUGCGAAUAGUGAGAAGGAUUGACGGUACCGGAAUAGAAAGCCACGGCUAACUACGUG
rnacentral:rRNA from 1 species